AUGGUGUCUGAGGAAAAGGAGAUGAGGCAACAACGGAGUGAAAUAGAGAGGCAAGGCUGCAUGUCAGGAGGGAAAGCACUAACUCCAGAGUGAAGAAGAGGGGACGGGGAGGAGGAAUCAAGUUGGAAACGAGAAAGAAACACGGGAAAAGUUGGCCUCUGCUUCAUGUCUGAGGAACAUCUGCCACACUCUGCAAGGCAGUGAUCUCAAGCUCUGAGCGUUGGUGAUGCAGCCCUGCAGAGACAAAAGAUGAGCAGCUGUUUAGAUGUUGGUGUUCGUCAGGCAGGUAGAGAGCAGGAAAAUGGAAUCAAUACUAUUGUCUGUAACCUACCUGCCGCUGGGCUCUCUGU